rnacentral:rRNA from 1 species
GACGAACGCUGGCGGCGUGCCUAAUACAUGCAAGUCGAGCGGACGAAUCGAAAGCUUGCUUUUGAUUCGUUAGCGGCGGACGGGUGAGUAACACGUGGGCAACCUGCCCUGUAGACGGGGAUAACACCGAGAAAUCGGUGCUAAUACCGGAUAACACGAAAUGUCGCAUGACGUUUCGUUGAAAGACGGCGCAAGCUGUCGCUACAGGAUGGGCCCGCGGCGCAUUAGCUAGUUGGUGAGGUAACGGCUCACCAAGGCGACGAUGCGUAGCCGACCUGAGAGGGUGAUCGCCCACACUGGGACUGAGACACGGCCCAGACUCCUACGGGAGGCAGCAGUAGGGAAUCUUCCGCAAUGGACGAAAGUCUGACGGAGCAACGCCGCGUGAGCGAAGAAGGCCUUCGGGUCGUAAAGCUCUGUUGUUAGGGAAGAACAAGUAACGCAGUAACUGGCGUUACCGUGACGGUACCUAACGAGAAAGCCACGGCUAACUACGUG